rnacentral:lncRNA from 1 species
GCGGUGCCCGCGCCCGCUUCCAGAAGUCGUACCGUUAAGCGGUACGACCGCAUGCCACGUGGCAACUGCCGCCGUCGGGGGCGUGGGUCUGGGCGGCGCAGCGGUGCGUGGCUCGCCCCAGCUGGUUCCUCAGCCGGGGCGCUUUCGGAGGUGUCGUCGUGGUGUUGUCGUGGCUGGCGCGCCGGCCGCCGGGCGUCGGUGGCGACGGCGGCGGCUAGUCGCUGGCGGCGCGCGGGGUGGCGCAGUCGUGGGCCCGCUUCGCAGCGGCUGGCGGCUGCGGCGGCGGCGCGCGCGGCCCGCGGGGUACGGCGGGCGCCGGCGGUCGCCUGAGCCAGUGCGGCGUAGGGCGACGGCUCGGCUCGGCGCGUGUGCUUGGCGAGCCGGCCGGGGAGGGAGAGGUUUAACGCGUCUGGACGAACCGCCGUCUAGUCCAGGUGUAACUC